rnacentral:lncRNA from 1 species
GUCCAGCCAUCAACACAUUUGUGAAGGAAUUUUUACUCCCCAAAAGAGCGCCCCCCCAUGGCAGGAGAAAAAAGUCCAUUUUUUCUUGUCCCCUAAGGUGAAAAUACACAUUGUUGAGUGUCACGCCUGUACGCUUUGUCAAAAUGACACAAAAAUUGACACACACAUGUAUCUCAAUAAGAUCUACAAAAAAGUCCAUGCGCGCGUAUCUGUCAAAUGUACGGUUAAAGGGUUAUUCCGCAUUUUUUGCCGAUUCGCACACAUUGGAAUUUCGCUAACUCCUCCGAAGGCUUUCGUUCCACCGGCACCACAUUUGCUCAGGCCAAUCUACACCCCAUGGCCAUUAAAAGUUAUUCAAAUCAUGACGCUGCACCCCACGGUUUACGUUCUAGGGGGCGCCAAAGAUAACCCAAAAAUCCACAUUUUUAAAAGUCUUAUAACUUUUUAUUUUUGUCCUCACUGGCCUCCAAGUUUUCUAGGAUGAUGCAAUGUCCAGCCAUCAACACAUUUGUGAAGGAAUUUUUACUCCCUAAAAGAGCGCCCCCCAUGGCAGGAGAAAAAAGUCCAUUUUUUCUUGUCCCCUAAGGUGAAAAUACACAUUGUUGACUGUCACGCCUGUACGCUUUGGCAAAAUGACACAAAAAUUGACAAUCAUGUGUAUCUCAAUUAGAUCUACGAAAAAGUCAAAGAGCGCGUAUCUGUAUAAUGUACGGUAAAAGGGCUAUUUUGCAUUUUUUGCCGAUUCGCACACAUUGGAAUUUCGCUAACUCCUCCUAAGGCUUUCGUCCCACUGACACCAAAUUUGCUCGGGCCAAUCUACACUCCAUGGCCAUUCAAAGUUGUAAAAAUCAUGACGCUGCACCCCACGGUUUACGUUUUAGGGGGCGCCAAAGAUGACCCAAAUAUACAUUACAGUAGACAAAGUAGUUUUGCCCACUGAGUGGCGCCAAAGGGACUUGUCUGUGGAGUCUGUGAGUCACUAUUGGCCGUUUUUGACUACUUUAGAUUUUACCUUUAUAUUUCCUCUUACAAAAUUUUUACCUUGCCUUGCCUGGUAUCAUUUUUUUCAGCACAACCUCACCUGUGUCAAUUUACAGUUAUUUUAUCAUUUUGACAUACUAUAUUUACACAUUGGACCCAAAUUCACACACAAAACAUAAAAUCCGAGUGGAAAGAAGUAACGUUUUUACUGUGAAAACCACAAAUAUGUGUGAUGAACUGUUUUUAAAACUUAAACUUCAAAUAAAAAUUGUAAACUUCAAAACAUAUGCAAAUUUUUAACAAAGAACAUAGUAAUUUACCUCUAUUUACAUCAAAAUGCAGGCAAUGGCCCAGGUGUUCUUUGUAAAAUUAUUUACAAAACACUGUAUAGUCUCACAAAUGUCACUUUUUAUUUAUGCCACUACAAAAAAACAUGAUGUAAAUGAUGCAUGAUGUAAAACAUGAUGUAAAAAACUUGUGUAUAUCCUCCUCUAUGUUAGUCCAUGUGUAAUUUUUCCAUAAUUCUUUGUUUUUUGCAGCAUUUUUGUUAGUGUAACUGCAGAUUGUGCUGACAGUGUCUAUGGCAAAAAAAAAAAAAAAACUGAAAAUGCCUCAACAUGAACCCCUGGUGGUCUCUGAGGGUGAAACCUGCUAACUGCUGCAGCUCUGUCAGCUUCAGUCUCCCAUGCAGAGCUCGGAGCGCAUGUGUGGCUCUGCACCCUUAGCAGCGUUGCUAACUCCUCAGUAAGGAAAGCCUGCUUCAUGUCAGAGUCUCUAAACUCCAGAAGAAGUUGAUAAAAGUCACUUUCUUUCUAAAAAAAAGUCGUUAGGGGGUCUGAAAAGUCAUUGAAUCUAACAACAAAGUCGCUAGGUUUGCAACUACGUGUCCCAGACUGCAUCCCUGCUGAGAGUCCCUCCCUCCCUUCUCAUAUUGCAGGAAGAACGUAAGCGCCCGCCCCUUGUCAAUCAGUCACCAUAUAAUUUUGGAUUGGUUGUUGUGGUGAAGUUUUCCACCAAUAGGAGAGAUGUUGUGGUGUGUUUCUUUUUUCCUUUGGCAAGCCUUUUCCGCCUGUAAGACCUGUCGCUAAUGUCUGCAUGCUAUGUUUUCCUGUCUCAUACAGCGCGAUCGAGCGCCGAACGUGAUCAAAAUAAGCAGAAAACAAGUAUCGCGGACAUAAUUUAUCAUAACUCUGGUUUUAUUUGGCCUAUCAACACAAUUAAAAACUGGUAUAUAGGUUGAGGUCCUCACUUUAGAGAUAAGUUGAAACGGAGUCAACGAGGCUCCGUCUUGCAGCUACAUCCGGUUAAAUAUGUCAUGUGACUUGAACGCACACACACACACACACACACACACACACACACACACACACACACACACACACACACACACACACACACACACACACACACACACACACACUCAGAGUCUGGUUUUUAGCACCUGCAAAAACAUGCUAUUUACAUAUUUGACAAGAAUGCAGAGGCUCCUUUUGCCCCUGAAAAAAAUCUAAUUUCAAACACAACUUGACUGGUCAUUUCUCCAAAAGACAACCAUGAAGCUCCAUCCAAACCUGAAGCAGGCAGUUGGUGCAUGUGUACAGUAACCUGAGGGGAGUGAGGUGACUGCUUCUGAGGAGAACAUGAGCAGUGAAGAUUCACCUUAGAGCUAGAACAGAGACGUGCACAUGAUUAUACAGGGGCAGGGGCUCAAGUUUUUUCCAGUUGUUUAUACAAUAUGGAAAUUAAUGUGAAAUUAAAACACAAAGUAUUAAUAGAAAGGUAAUGACUGUCCUGAGUAGGUGACAGUGAUAUCCAAUAGGCUAGGCACUCAAGAGGCUGGCUGUGGCAAGUGUAAGUGAAAGCAACACGCACUGGCAGGAAGAACAGCAAACGCCGAUGAAGGAAAAGGGUCUUUGCAGUGAUGGGCGUUACCAGAGAGGGCGAUGGCCAGAGGACACAAAUGGGACGGGGAGGCAGCGCGUUGGGGGGGACGCGACACAGCUCGGGCCCGCCAGUGCCCCAACAGGGUCCUAGUGUUAUUAUUAGGGCCCGAGCGUAGCUGCUAAGCAGCUGCGAGAGCCCUCUUGUUCCUGCAUGUUUCCUUCUUUCGUUAUUAUUUUUCCUCCGCUUUAAACUGGAAAAUGGCCCACUUCCCACUGGCGAAAACUCAUGAAAUUUGGCAGGACGACCGGGCCUGGUGAAAAAUUCGAUAUUUUGAAGUCACCCAAACAAUAAAAUGCAAAAUGGCUCCAUAGCGCCCCCUAAGGUGAAAAUUCACAUGACGGCUGUACGCUUUGUCAUAUUGACACAAAAAUUGACACACACAUGUAUCUCAAUAAGAUCUACAAAAAAGUCAGUGCGGGCGUAUCUGUCAAAUGUACGGUUAAUGGGUUAUUUUGCAUUUUUUGCAGAUCUGCACACAUUGGAAUUUCGCUAACUCCUCCGAAGGCUUUCGUUCGACCGGCACCACAUUUGUGCAGGCCAAUCUACCCCCCAUGGCCAUUAAAAGUUGUACAAAUCAUGAUGCUGCACCCCACGGUUUACGUUCUAGGGGGCGCCAAAGAUAACCCAAAAUCCACAUUCUUAAAAGUCUUAUAACUUUUUAUUUUUGUCCUCACUGCCCUCCAAGUUUUCUAGGAUGAUGCAAUGUCCAGCCAUCAACACAUUUGUGAAGGAAUUUUUACUCCCCAAAAGAGCGCCCCCCAUGGCAGGAGAAAAAAGUCAAUUUUUUCUUGUCCCCUUACAUGAAAAUACACAUUGUUGAGUGUCACGCCUGAACGCUUUGUCAUAUUGACACAAAAAUUGACAAUCAUGUGUAUCUCAAUUAGAUCUACGAAAAAGUCAAAAAGCACGUAUCUGUAUAAUGUACGGUUAAAGGGCUAUUUCGCAUUUUUUGCCAAUUCGCACACAUUGGAAUGUGGCUAUCUCCUCCUAAGGCUUUCGUCCCACUGAUACCAAAUUUGCUCAGGGCAAUCUACACCCCAUGCCCAUUCAAAGUUGUAAAAACCAUGAUGCUGCACCCCACGGUUUACGUUCUAGGGGGCGCCAAAGAUGACCCAAAAAUCCACAUUCUUAAAAGUCAUUUUGGCCACUGCAGGAGUACAGAGUACUGCAGUUCUAGGGGGCGCCAAAGAUGACCCAAAAAUCCACAUUCUUAAAAGUCUUUUUGGCCACUGCAGGAGUACAGAGUACUGCAGGAUACACACACAUAUACACACACGCCAAACACACACACACACACACACACACACACACACACACACACACACACACACACACACACACACACACACUCAGAGUCUGUUUUUUAGCACCUGCAAAAACAUGCUGUUUACAUAUUUGACAAGAAUGCAGAGGCUUCCUUUUGCCCCUGAAAAAAAUCAAAUUUCAAACACAACUUGACUGUUCAUUUCUCCAAAAGACAACCAUGAAGCUCCAUCCAAACCUGAAGCAGAUAGUUGGUGCAUGUGUACAGUAACCUGAGGGGAGUGAGGUGACUAUUUCUGAGGAGAACAUGAGCAGUGAAGAUUCACCUUGGAGCUAGAACAGGGACGUGCACAUGAUUAUACAGGGGCAGGAGCUCAAGUUUUUUCCAGUCAUUUAUACAAUAUGGAAAUUAAUGUGAAAUUAAAAAACAAAGUAUUAAUAGAAAGGUUAUGACUGUCCUGUGUAGAUGACAGUGAUAUCCAAUAGGCUAGGCACUCACGAGGCUGGCUGUGGCAAGUGCAAGUGAAAGCAACACGCACUGGCAGGAAGAACAGCAAACGCAGAUGAAGGAAAAGGGUCUUUGCAGUGAUGGGCGUUACCAGAGAGGACGAUGGCCAGAGGACGCGAAUGGGACGGGGAGGCAGCGCGUUGGGGGGGCAGCGCGACACGGCUCGGGCCCGCCAGUGCCCCAACGGGGCCCUAGUUAUUAUUUUUCCUCCCCUUUGAACUGGAAAAUGGCCCACUUCCCACUGGCGAAAACUCAUGAAAUUUGGCAGGACGACCGGGCCUGGUGAAAAAUUUGAUAUUCCGAAGUCGCCCAAACAAGAAAAUGCAAAAUGGCUCCAUAGCGCCCCCUAAGGUGAAAAUUCACAGUAUUCACUGUCACGCCUGUACGCUUUGUCAAAAUGACACAAAAAUUGACACACACAUGUAUCUCAAUAAGAUCUACAAAAAAGUCAGUGCGGGCGUAUCUGUCAAAUGUACGGUUAAAGGGUUAUUUCGCAUUUUUUGCCGAUCCGCACACAUUGGAAUUUCGCUAACUCCUCCGAAGGCUUUCGUUCCACCGGCACCACAUUUGCUCAGGCCAAUCUACACCCCAUGGCCAUUAAAAGUUAUUCAAAUCAUGACGCUGCACCCCACGGUUUAGGUUCUAGGGGGCGCCAAAGAUAACCCUAAAAUCCACAUAUUUAAAAGUCUUAUAACUUUUUAUUUUUGCCCUCACUGGCCUCCAAGUUUUCUAGGAUGAUGCAAUGUCCAGCCAUCAACACAUUUGUGAAGGAAUUUUUAAUCCCCAAAAGAGCGCCCCCCCAUGGCAGGAGAAAAAAGUCCAUUUUUUCUUGUCCCCUAAGGUGAAAAUACACAUUGUUGAGUGUCACGCCUGUACGCUUUGUCAUAUUGACACAAAAUUUGACACACACAUGUAUCUCAAUAAGAUCUACGAAAAAGUCAAUGCGCGCGUAUCUGUCAAAUGUACGGUUAAAGGGUUAUUCCGCAUUUUUUGCUGAUCCGCACACAUUGGAAUUUCGCUAACUCCUCCUAAGGCUGGCGUUCCACCGGCACCACAUUUGCUCAGGCCAAUCUACACCCCAUGGCCAUUAAAAGUUAUUCAAAUCAUGACACUGCACCCCACAGUUUAGGUUCUAGGGGGCGCCAAAGAUAACCCUAAAAUCCACAUAUUUCAAAGUCUUAUAACUUUUUAUUUUUGUCCUCACUGGCCUCCAAGUUCUCUAGGAUGAUGCAAUGUCCAGCCAUCAACACAUUUGUGAAGGAAUUUUUACUCCCCAAAAGAGCGCCCCCCCAUGGCAGGAGAAAAAAGUCCAUUUUUUCUUGUCCCAUAAGGUGAAAAAACACAUUGUUGACUGUCAUACCUGUACGCUUUGUCAUAUUGACACAAAAUUUGACAAUCACAUGUAUCUCAAUAAGAUCUACGAAAAAGUCAAUGCGCGCGUAUCUGUAAAAUGUACGGUUAAAGGGCUAUUUUGCAUUUUUUGCCGAUUCGCACACAUUGGAAUGUGGCUAACUCCUCCUAAGGCUUUCGUCCCACUGACACCAAAUUUGCUCAGGCCAAUCUACACCCCAUGGCCAUUCAAAGUUGUAAAAAUCAUGACGCUGCACCCCACGGUUUACGUUCUAGGGGGCGCCAAAGUUGACCCAAAUAUCCACAUUCUUAAAAGAAUCCCCCCCCCCAUCCCCCAUCCCCCAUCCCCCAUGGCAGGAGAAACAGUCAAGUUUUUCCUGCCCAUCACUCAAUGGCUCAAUCGCAUCGCUCUCCCGGCAACACCGUAACGAGGAGCAACUUGCCGUUUGGAUAUAUCCUAGCUGUGUUUGUGCCCUCACUCCUGGUCCAGACUUUUUUCAAAUAGGACAUGCAGUUUGUCUGCAGCGAGUGUUUUGGUAGAAACUGCGCCUCCCAUUCAUUAUAAUGGGAAAUGACCACAGACAAGUGCGCACACCAUCUUUGGACCUUGAGUGUGACGCGAUCGGGAGGGGGAGGCGGUCGCGCUGGGGGCGGCGCGACGCGGCUCGGGCCCGACAGUGCCCCACCGGGGCCCUAGUUAGGGCCCGAGCGUAGCUGCUAAGCAGCUGCGAGAGCCCUCUUGUUCCUGUAGUUUCCUUCUUUUGUUAUUAGGGCCCGAGCGUAGCUGCUAAGCAGCUGCGAGAGCCCUCUUGUUCCUGUAGUUUCCUUCUUUUGUUAUUAGGGCCCGAGCGUAGCUGCUAAGCAGCUGCGAGAGCCCUCUUGUUCCUGCAUGUUUCCUUCUUUUGUUAUUAUUAUUAUUAUUUUUCCUCCCCUUUGAACUGGAAAAUGGCCCACUUCCCACUGGCGAAAACUCAUGAAAUUUGGCAGGACGACCGGGCCUGGUGAAAAAUUUGAUAUUCCGAAGUCGCCCAAACAAGAAAAUGCAAAAUGGCUCCAUAGCGCCCCCUAAGGUGAAAAUUCACACUAUUGACUGUCACGCCUGUACGCUUUGUCAAAAUGACACAAAAAUUGACACACACAUGUAUCUCAAUAAGAUCUACAAAAAAGUCAGUGCGGGCGUAUCUGUCAAAUGUACGGUUAAAGGGUUAUUUCGCAUUUUUUGCCGAUCCGCACACAUUGGAAUUUCGCUAACUCCUCCGAAGGCUUUCGUUCCACCGGCACCACAUUUGCUCAGGCCAAUCUACACCCCAUGGCCAUUAAAAGUUAUUCAAAUCAUGACGCUGCACCCCACGGUUUAGGUUCUAGGGGGCGCCAAAGAUAACCCUAAGAUCCACAUAUUUCAAAGUCUUAUAACUUUUUAUUUUUGCCCUCACUGGCCUCCAAGUUUUCUAGGAUGAUGAAAUGUCCAGCCAUCAACACAUAUGUGAAGGAAUUUUUACUCCCCAAAAGAGCGCCCCCCCAUGGCAGGAGAAAAAAGUCCAUUUUUUCUUGUCCCCUAAGGUGAAAAUACACAUUGUUGAGUGUAACACCUGUACGCUUUGGCAAAAUGACACAAAAAUUGACACACACAUGUAUCUCAAUAAGAUCUACGAAAAAGUCAAUGCGCGCGUAUCUGUCAAAUGUACGGUUAAAGGGUUAUUCCGCAUUUUUUGCUGAUCCGCACACAUUGGAAUUUCGCUAACUCCUCCGAAGGCUUUCGUUCCACCGGUACCACAUUUGCUCAGGCCAAUCUACACCCCAUGGCCAUUAAAAGUUAUUCAAAUCAUGACGCUGCAUCCCACGGUUUAGGUUCUAGGGGGCGCCAAAGAUAACCCUAAAAUCCACAUAAUUAAAAGUCUUAUAACUUUUUAUUUUUGUCCUCACUGGCCUCCAAGUUUUCUAGGAUGAUGCAAUGUCCAGCCAUCAACACAUUUGUGAAGGAAUUUUUACUCCCCAAAAG